rnacentral:lncRNA from 1 species
UUUUUAUUCCAACACCCUACCCUGCACCUUUCCAGGUCUAGUAAAUCUGUCAUCAGUAGGCUUAGAUAAGGACCCUGCAAUGCCUCUGGCAGAAGUGAGAUGUUUGUUUAAUGUAAAACCUCCCGGACCUGCUCCUGAGGAGACCAGAAGAAGUUCUUGAUGCGAGAACAAAAGAUAAAAGUUCAAUCUGGAAGGCAGAAAAGUGGGUUGUCAACCAUAUAGCUUGGACGAUUCGUCCUACAGCAGGCUCUAGGGUAUCAUCGUCUGGCUUUAUCUCGCUUUCUCAGCUUCUACUCAAGACUACUGUGCAUCUUAAGAAGUUAUCCCAUAGGAUCUACAUUCUUCCUCUGCAAAACAUGUGCUUUUGCUCCUACAUCAAAAUGAAUCACAGACCUGGGGCCCCUGAGAGGACAAAAGUGUAGCACCAUGAGGACUGACAAUAGCCUGAGGCAGAAGGAUAACUGCAGGCUGCUGGCACAAUUUCAGCUUCUUGACAAAUCCACUAGCAAACCCAAGUCUGGGCCCCAGUGAUAUCUGACCUCACUCCUUGCAGCAAGAGGAAUCUUUUAAGUCUGGUGAAGAGGAAGGAAUCCCAUAUCUCCAUCCUUACUUCUGCUGACCAGUUAGCUGGAUCCCUCCAGGUGACUUGAAGAGGGCAGGUGGAAAGAAAACCUUCUCUUGGCAUCACAGUAAAGGCACGUCAUCUCCUGCUGGACCCCUUAGACUGCAUUAUCGGGGUGUGAAAUUGUAAAAUGUUAAUACAUUUUCA